rnacentral:rRNA from 1 species
AUUGAACGCUGGCGGCAGGCCUAACACAUGCAAGUCGAACGGUAACAGGAAGCAGCUUGCUGCUUUGCUGACGAGUGGCGGACGGGUGAGUAAUGUCUGGGAAACUGCCCGAUGGAGGGGGAUAACUACUGGAAACGGUAGCUAAUACCGCAUAACGUCGCAAGACCAAAGAGGGGGACCUUAGGGCCUCUUGCCAUCGGAUGUGCCCAGAUGGGAUUAGCUAGUAGGUGGGGUAACGGCUCACCUAGGCGACGAUCCCUAGCUGGUCUGAGAGGAUGACCAGCCACACUGGAACUGAGACACGGUCCAGACUCCUACGGGAGGCAGCAGUGGGGAAUAUUGCACAAUGGGCGCAAGCCUGAUGCAGCAAUGCCGCGUGUAUGAAGAAGGCCUUCGGGUUGUAAAGUACUUUCAGCGGGGAGGAAGGGAGUAAAGUUAAUACCUUUGCUCAUUGACGUUACCCGCAGAAGAAGCACCGGCUAACUCCGUG